GACGAACGCUGGCGGCGUGCCUAAUACAUGCAAGUUGAGCGAUGAAGCUUGGUGCUUGCACCAAUUUGAAGAGCAGCGAACGGGUGAGUAACGCGUGGGGAAUCUGCCUUUGAGCGGGGGACAACAUUUGGAAACGAAUGCUAAUACCGCAUAACAACUUUAAACAUAAGUUUUAAGUUUGAAAGAUGCAAUUGCAUCACUCAAAGAUGAUCCCGCGUUGUAUUAGCUAGUUGGUGAGGUAAAGGCUCACCAAGGCGAUGAUACAUAGCCGACCGGAGAGGGUGAUCGGCCACAUUGGGACGGAGACACGGCCCAAACUCCUACGGGAGGCAGCAGUAGGGAAUCUUCGGCAAUGGACGAAAGUCUGACCGAGCAACGCCGCGUGAGUGAAGAAGGUUUUCGGAUCGUAAAACUCUGUUGGUAGGGAAGAACGUUGGUGAGAGUGGAAAGCUCAUCAAGUGACGGUAACUACCCAGAAAGGGACGGCUAACUACGUG
rnacentral:rRNA from 1 species